CUCACUUGAUGCUAUAGGCCCUAGGUUUAUCCCCUACCCCUUUCUUUUCCCUGAUCCCACACUCUCCCUAACAUACCACCAGCAUUUAUGGUUUCAACCAUGACUACCACUAGACCAGUCUGAAAGUGAAAUAUAAUGGUACUCUGCUUCAAAACGGUAUUUCAGGCUUCAAAACUCUCAGCCCAUCUAUAGAACAGCCAAAGGAGAAACUACAGCUCUGUUCUGAGGGACUCAUUUAACAGGUCCUUCACCAGCUGUUCUAACACCUUCCAGGGUCCUCACAAGUCUGGACUUUCUCUAGUUCAUCAGAAACCCUCACACAGACAUCCUUCUCCUAACUGAGCACAGGACUGCAGAUGUGAGCCAACAGCCAGUCAGCAGAAUCAUCAUUGCACCCCUCACUACGAACACUAACUACUUCCAAUCACGCACUAGCUUUUGGAGUAGCAGCCAGGACUACUCUGAGUAUGCCUAAAACUUGGGAGUUACCUACCAUCUUUUGGAAUUUAAUUUCUUUUAAUAUGUUUA